rnacentral:lncRNA from 13 species
AUGCAGCAUUACAUCAUUUUCCUUGGACGAUUCAGAAGAGAGGCACACACAUCUUUAAGUUCCACUAAGCAACAUAAACAUCAACCCCCCCUUAAAACGCCCGAAGUGCCCGAUGAGCGCACGGGGCCGCACUUUCCACAGCACCGUAACAGGUGUGGGACGGGGUUUGGGGCCGGCAGCCGCUCGGUGUCAGCACGACGGUGUGGGACGGGGGUUCUCCCCCGCCGAGGCUGCCCCGGCAGCGGCACGGCCCGACCGGGAGCGCCCGCUCGCUGCUGCGGCGGCCGCGGGGCUGCGGAGCCGCUCCCGCGCCGCGGGGACACCGGCCCGGCCGCGACACCCGCCCGCCCCCGGCGCCCAGCCCUAGCCCGGCCUCCCCCCGGCCCCCGGCACACCCACCGGGCUGUGCGGGGCCGCCGAUCCGCCCCCGCCCUGGCAGCGCGGAGCGGGCGCUCACCCCGGCAGCGGGACCGGCUCCGUCCCGGCUCCGCCGCGCAGGAAGCGGAACUGGCGCGCGGCGGAAGCGGGAGGCGCCCGGAUGUGCGCGGGGCCGGGCCCCGAGGGAAGCGGCGGCUCCGAGCGGGGCCCGGGCAGCGCGGAGCCGGGGCGGGGGCGUGCUGUGGGCCGUGCCCCGGGAGGGCAGAACGGGAGCUCCGCGGGGCUGCUCCCGGCGGGGUCACGCAGGAAACCGGGAGGGAACUCCACGGCACCGCGGAGCUCGCGGCCCCUCAGCGCCGGCCUGAGGCCGAACUGCGCCGCGGCCCCGGGGAGGCCGGAGAGGCGACUUGCACGGGCAGGUGCUGCCAUGAGUGUCUCAUUUCCGCUGUCAGCUGUGAAAGGAGGUUGUUCUGUACCCAAGGGUCCCGCCUGAGGCCCCACCUGCAGAGCUGCUUCCAGCCCUGGGGUUCCAGCACAGGAAGGACGUGGAACUGCUGGAGCGAAUCCAGAGGAGGCAUCAAGAUGAUCAGAGGGAUGGAGCAGCUCUGCUGUGAGGAAAGGCGGGGAGAAUGGGAUUGUUCAGCCUGGGGAAGGGAAGGUUUCAGGGUCACCUAA